UGGACGACUCUCGGCAACGGAUAUCUCGGCUCUCGCAUCGAUGAAGAACGUAACGAAAUGCGAUACCUGGGGUGAAUUGCAGAAUCCCGUGAACCAUCGAGUCUUUGAACGCAAGUUGCGCCCGAGGCCAUCCGGCUAAGGGCACGCCUGGCUGGGCGUCACGC
rnacentral:rRNA from 1 species